rnacentral:rRNA from 1 species
AACUCUAUGCGGUGGAUCACUCGGCUCGUGCGUCGAUGAAGAGCGCAGCCAGCUGUGUGAAUUAUUGUGAAUUGCAGGACACACUGAACAUCGACACCUUGAACGCACAUUGCGGCUCUGGCUCAGUGCCAGAGCCACGCCUGUCCGAGGGUCG